UACGUAGGGGGCAAGCGUUGUCCGGAAUUAUUGGGCGUAAAGCGCGUGUAGGCGGCCAGAUAAGUCCGCUGUGAAAUCUCGAGGCUCAACUUCGAGCUGUCGGUGGAAACUAUCUGGCUAGAGUCCGGAAGAGGAGAAUGGAAUUCCUGGUGUAGCGGUGAAAUGCGCAGAUAUCAGGAAGAACACCCGUGGCGAAGGCGGUUCUCUGGGACGGUACUGACGCUGAGACGCGAAAGCGUGGGGAGCGAACAGG
rnacentral:rRNA from 1 species